rnacentral:lncRNA from 1 species
AAUUGAAAGAGGCUGUGGAAAGAGGAACGGUUAAAUUUGUAAUAUUGGUUGUGUGAAACACUUCUUUGGGCCUCAUAAACAACCACAGAACCACAAGUUGGGUACAGAGGCAGUCACACAAGAGCGGGUCCGGGAUAUUGGUCAGCAGGCAGGGCGAAUCAUUUUGACUGCAAACCACAAGAGUUUCAUAGAGUGGUAAGCAUCAUGAAACCACAAGUGAUCCGCUAUUUCUCUCUCUCUCUCUCCCUCUCUCUUUUACAAAACAGUUCAGUGGUUGUGUGAGAGAAAAAGACUCUUAUGACUGAAUUUAUUUUACUUUGCAGAUACAAACAUGCAAAGUGCAAUGGCAGAGGAGUUUGUUAUAAUGACCACUCUUGAUUUUUUACUUCUCAAGGUAAAAGAAAUAACAUAUCGCCCCUUUUAAAAAAGAAAAUAAGUUUUUAAAAGAGGAAACCAUGACUUCAAACAGCUUCUUUGAGUCAUUUCCUUCUUACCAGCAGUGCUUCGUGCGAGGUAAGUGCCACUCAAUCUUUUAAAUAUACUUUUUGACUCAUCCAUGUUCAGGAAAAUGCAUGUUUGCACUUUUCAAGAAGCUCUUAGGAGCACAUGUUUUUCCAUGAUUAUUUUCUCUGAUUCUAAUAAAAUCUGAAAUGUAAAUGCAUUACCAGCUUGAUUCUGUUGAGCAAUUGUACUGAGCACUCAUUUCAGUUGUUCAAGUCACCAGUACAUAAUCAACAGUGCUCUGUUUUGUGAAUGUGACUGUUACAAAUCAUACAAAUUGCAUGCAACAAGCAGAAGCACAAACCACCAAAGGAGAGUUUAGCUGUGCUGGUGGAGUCAGUGCUUUGGAACAGCACUUAUUUAAAUAGCCAAUAGCACACUGUAUGCAUCACAGACUAAUAUGAAUAAGGAACAAAGUUGAGCUGUUGCUCCAUUUAUGUACCAGUCCAAAUAAUGGAAGAAGCCUAGGGCUACAAUUCGCAUAUGCAUUUUUAUCUAGGAAUAAAUCCCAUUAAAAUUAGUGGGGCUUACAUCUGAAUGAGCAUGAAUAAUAUCAGGUUGUUGGAAUCACUCAUUUAAGACAUUUUAAAAAUAGAAAAGGAACUUAACUUCCCACUGUGUUAAAAGUCACUGCACAGUGAGUAGAAUGAAGCAAAUUCGAUGCAUUUGUUUAUUGCAUGGAAAGCUGUGUUGCUUUCUGUAUUAAGAUAUCAUUUGUUGCAGAUGCUUUCAGAACCAUCCAGAGGUGCGGAAUAAUAAAGCAACCUGUGGAACAAUGUCCUAUACAAAUACUGACUGAAGUUUUCUGCUAGCUCUACUAUCCUCAAAACAGAUGUUUUGAUUGUGAUAAAUCCUUAUUAGUAAGCAAGUUAACUUGUGAAAGAAAUAGGCUGUCAGGAAGUUUCCUCAGUAGCAUUCCGAGAUAAGAGUGAUACAAUAUGAUAAGAAUGUUAUUCUUAUUCUAGCAGUACUCCUGACAAAAAAUGCCUGUUAUAAUAAAUGCAAUUUUAUAAAUUGAAUUCUUAGCUAUUUCAUGCUGGUGGUGGUUGGCAUGGUUGUUUAUGCGUGUGUGUGUGUUUGUGUGUGAGAGAGAGUGCACACAAGCGUUGCAAACUCCUUGGCCGCCUCAGGAGUGUCAAAAUGAGUCACCAGUUAUUUGUAUUAAUAAGCAUGCAAAGGAAUGCGGAAGGGUUGCAAGCUGCUUUGUCACAACAAGCCACUUUGCAGCAUCGCUCCCUUAUGGAUUAGAAAUGGGGUGAACAUAGGGGAGAAGAAUGCUAUAAAAGCUUUUCUUUGACUCUGUGACUACAAAGGUUUUAAGCAACAUUUUACUGGCAGGAGAGGAUAGUGUAGCUCAACCAGAUCAUUAUGAGCUAGGUGAGUCACACACCUUUUCUUUUUCUGAAACAUCUUUUAGUAGCAAGGCUGGGGACUGAGAAACUGCUUAAUCUUCCCCAACUCAUUUCCUUUGGGUUGCUAACAAGCAAAGGAAGCAAUAUUCGUAGAAUAACAAGGGGUCUUCCUGAGUGUAGUUGGCUUCAUUUAUUUUAUUUUAUUUUUUGCCCAUCCAAAUGUUUAUUUGCUCUUUUAUCUACAGGACAGGAAGGCUUUAUUGAGGAAAUUUUAUUCAUUUGGAAUGUAAUAAAGACUGAACCCUGUAGUGCUCUACUUGACAUAGUAGUGUAUAGUCAGCCUGUUCUUGAACUCUGACAGGAAAAGAGCCAUAAAUGAGUAGAUAAAGUUUAAACAAAUUUGAAACGGCAUGUAUUAGGGCCUUCAUUCUCCAUUAGCAUAAGCAGGCAUAACAGUUCUUCUACAAAAUUAAGUAUAAUCAUUUUAUUAUAUACCAGACCAAUCCUGUGUUCCAACGUAGAGAAUGCAUACUAAAAAUAGAUUCCAAGUGCAAAAUUGGCUGGAAAUCUGCCUUGUGUGAGAACCAGUGCUAUUUUUCUAGAAAAAGAGGUGUCAGAACUCAGCCAUGAACACCUCCCUUGUUCUCUUGGUGCCCACCUGAGAGGUGACAGAACUGAGUGAGAACCAUUAAAAUUGUGAGGAGCUCAAACAUUUUCCCUCCUCAGUUGAUCUUGGUCCUACUGGGGUACAGUUCCCAUAAAAGCGGGAAAUAUUCUGUGCCCCUUACUUUCAUUAGUUCAUAUUUUUACAUCUUGCAGCAUCAUUUGUGAUCUUCUCAUCUAUUUGCUGUACUGUCUGAUAAGCACAUGUAUUGGGCAUGUGCUUUGCUUAGUAAAUUUCCUGUAUGCUUUCUGUUUUUACUUUACCCUCUGAACAUAAGUACAAGUGAUUCCCUAACAGCUGCAGAAUUAGCCUUCACUCUCAGCAGUAGUUUAGACUGAGUGGUAGCCAAGAUGGUUGCUAAAUGAUCUUUGGAAUUAGCAGCAUAGAUUGCACAUCAACCACAAGUGAUUUCUGAUCUUACAAAUAGAUAUGAGAGGAAAGCACAUUGGCUGCCGAUGGCACAGAGACAGCAAAAAGCAUCGCAGGGAUCAUGCUGGGCUAGAAUUUCAUGCAUGAUACCCUAGUUUUUUUGCUUACAGGGUUUUUUAUGUGAGAUUAUUAAGAUGAAAGUCUGAAGCAUCAAAUCCACCCCACGGUCUUAUAAUUAUGCCCCCACAUUCUGAGUCUCUGGACUAGGCCUUAGUUCCAGAACAGGACCUGUUUUGAGCAAUUAAAUCAGACAUUUUGUUUUGUUUUGCCUAUAUUUUAGGAUGCGAGCUUAAUUGCAAUAGAUAGCUUCAGUAAGUAGUGAAUGUAUUCAUUAUUUUCACUGAUUAAUAGAAAUAAAUGAGGUUUAAAUAUGAGAGACUUCAAGUCUUGUCCAAAAGUGGUGUGUGUGUGUGUGUGUGUCUGCUUCCUCCUUUUACUGAGUUUCAGACAAUUUCAAAAGACCUGACUUGACAAAUACCUAGGCUUUGAUGCAAGAAAAAUAAUCAUUCCCUCAGUCAAAUUGUUCUCACCACCAUUUCUCAGUAGUGUUUAUACACACUAGUCAUUAGAAAUGUCCAAAAUAGUUUGGUUAUUUUUCCCGCCAAAAUUUAUUACACUUUCUCUCUCUCUCAACUAAAAUUAUGGCCUAAAGGGUGGAAAAAACAAGUUGUUUUCUGCCAUAGAUUUCACUUUAUCAGCCCAUGCAGUCCUCUAGGACGGAAAUCCAUCAUUCUUUUUCAGUGCGAUACUCUGUGAAAAUUUGGACAAAAAGAGAGGAGUGGGGAAGCAAACACUGGUCCCACCCUCUGUGAAAACUGACAGGAUCACAAAGCUUGUCAUAUUAAUUGAAUGUGGUACACCACAAAGGAUAUGACCCUUUUUCUAUCACACCACACCAGGUCCUCCCUUACACUGCUAGGUAAAGAAACAAAAAAUCUAUUUAAUAUUUCUUUUUGGGAGACCUAGGCUUCUCCAAAAAUCACACACUCAUUUGUUUACAAAGAAAAUUAUGAAUUAUUCCGCUUUCUAAAUGUUUUUCACUAACAAGUGUAUGGCAAUGGGAUUAAAAAAAAACCCUUUAAUACCCGAAAGAAGGAAAAAACACUAAUGUAAUAAUCUGAAGGUAAGGAAAACCACCAUACUGCUUUUAAUGGUUUUAUAUUGCUGUGUACCUGAUAUUUUGUAACAGAGUGGUACAUACUUUUAUAAAUUAAUGAAUGG